AAAAUAUAUAGAUUUUAUAGUUUAUAAAUGGAAGCCAAGCUCAAGCUACAUGUUUAUAGAUGAAGUCUUGAAAUCCAGGGCUUGAAAUGAAUUAUCUCCUGUGAGCGUUGGUUCUCUCUGGCGGUAUCUCCCCGAGGGUAUGUCCCUCGGGUGCACCUCUUCAAUUCUGGCCUACUGGAUGUGACUCUAGAUACUGUCUGGGGAAGUGGAGACUGGAGGGAACCCACACUGGGAAUUUUAUACCAGGAAGUUGCAGCUGUGUUCAUAUGCCAUGAAGCUUCAGUUACAGGAGGGGUUUCCAUAGCCCACAAGCUCAUCCCCAGACACCAGCUCCCAGCUGCUGCACCAUCCAGGGGACCAGCGUUCCUGUCUGGGUUCCUGCAUCCUACCGAGUUUUGUGUGGGUCUAUGUAUUCUUUUCUGCUGGUCAG
ensembl:lncRNA